GAUGAACGCUAGCGGGAGGCUUAACACAUGCAAGUCGAGGGGCAUCACGAGGUAGCAAUACUUUGGUGGCGACCGGCGCACGGGUGAGUAACACGUAUGCAACCUACCCUGUACAGGGGGAUAACCCGGAGAAAUUCGGACUAAUAUUCCAUAAUGAUAUUUUAGGGCAUCCUUUAAUAUUUAAAGCUUUGGCGGUACAGGAUGGGCAUGCGCAACAUUAGCUAGUUGGGAGGGUAACGGCCUACCAAGGCUAUGAUGUUUAGGGGACCUGAGAGGGUGAUCCCCCGACUGGUACUGAGACACGGACCAGACUCCUACGGGAGCAGCAGUGAGGAAUAUUGGUCAAUGGGCGGAAGCCUGAACCAGCCAUCCCGCGUGCAGGAAGACAGCCCUAUGGGUUGUAAACUGCUUUUCCAGUGGGCGAACCCCUCGUACGUGUACGGGAUUGACGGUACACUGGGAAUAAGCAUCGGCUAACUCCGUGCCAGCAGCCGCGGUAAUGU
rnacentral:rRNA from 1 species